rnacentral:tRNA from 1 species
AAUGAAGUGCCUGAAAAAGGGUUAUCUUGAUAGGAUAAAACAUGUAAAAAUAAGUUUUACCUUUAUUA